rnacentral:rRNA from 1 species
AAAAUGGAGAGUUUGAUCCUGGCUCAGGAUGAACGCUGGCGGCGUGCUUAACACAUGCAAGUCGAACGCACCUUCGGGUGAGUGGCGGACGGGUGAGUAACGCGUGGGAAUCUGGCCCUAGGAGGGGGACAACGGUUGGAAACGGCCGCUAAUACCCCAUAUGGCGAGAGCUGAAAUGAAUUUUCGCCUGGGGAUGAGCCCGCGUCUGAUUAGCUAGUUGGUGGGGUAAAUGCUCACCAAGGCAUCGAUCAGUAGCUGGUCUGAGAGGACGAUCAGCCACACUGGGACUGAGACACGGCCCAGACUCCUACGGGAGGCAGCAGUGGGGAAUUUUCCGCAAUGGGCGAAAGCCUGACGGAGCAACGCCGCGUGAGGGAUGAAGGCCUUUGGGCUGUAAACCUCUUUUCUCAAGGAAGAAGAUCUGACGGUACUUGAGGAAUAAGCCACGGCUAAUUCCGUGCCAGCAGCCGCGGUAAUACGGGAGUGGCAAGCGUUAUCCGGAAUUAUUGGGCGUAAAGCGUCCGCAGGUGGCCUAGCAAGUCCGUUGUUAAAUCGUGGGGCUUAACCCCAUCAUGAUGGUGGAAACUGCUGGGCUUGAGUGUGGUAGGGGCAGAGGGAAUUCCCGGUGUAGCGGUGAAAUGCGUAGAUAUCGGGAAGAACACCAGUGGCGAAGGCGCUCUGCUGGGCCAUCACUGACACUCAUGGACGAAAGCCAGGGGAGCGAAAGGGAUUAGAUACCCCUGUAGUCCUGGCCGUAAACGAUGAACACUAGGUGUCGGGGGAAUCGACCCCUUCGGUGCCGUAGCCAACGCGUUAAGUGUUCCGCCUGGGGAGUACGCACGCAAGUGUGAAACUCAAAGGAAUUGACGGGGGCCCGCACAAGCGGUGGAGUAUGUGGUUUAAUUCGAUGCAACGCGAAGAACCUUACCAGGGCUUGACAUCCUGCGAAUCUCUGAGAAAUUGGAGAGUGCCUUCGGGAGCGCAGUGACAGGUGGUGCAUGGCUGUCGUCAGCUCGUGUCGUGAGAUGUUGGGUUAAGUCCCGCAACGAGCGCAACCCACGUCUUUAGUUGCCAGCAUUAAGUUGGGCACUCUAGAGAGACCGCCGGUGACAAACCGGAGGAAGGUGUGGACGACGUCAAGUCAUCAUGCCCCUUACGUCCUGGGCUACACACGUACUACAAUGCUACGGAUAAAGGGCAGCAAACUCGCGAGAGCUAGCAAAUCCCGUAAACCGUGGCUCAGUUCAGAUCGUAGGCUGCAACUCGCCUACGUGAAGUAGGAAUCGCUAGUAAUCGCAGGUCAGCAUACUGCGGUGAAUACGUUCCCGGGCCUUGUACACACCGCCCGUCACACCAUGGAAGUUGGCCACGCCCGAAGUCGUUACUCCAACCCUUGUGGAGGAGGACGCCGAAGGUGGGGCUGAUGACUGGGGUGAAGUCGUAACAAGGUAGCCGUACCGGAAGGUGCGGCUGGAUCACCUCCUAA